CCCCAACUAUAACUCAAGGAAAUCCACUAAACCCAUUGGUGGUGUUAAGUACACAAAUUGGACGCUGUAAUUCGAUGGUUGUCUUUAUUGGGCGGGCUGUACAGUAGGAAUAGUGUCCACACGCUUUACAAGACGCCAAUAUCUGUAUGCUUUGCAUAUGCAGGUCAGGUUGCAGAGAUGCAGGGGAAUGGGUCGUUUUGGGGUAGCGCAAGAGAACUGAACUUCUGGGUUAGUGUGGCCUAAACUGCUAUUCUUUAAAUGCACCUAACUUUAAUGAAAUAUUUAACCUAUUUUUGAGAAAACAGUUACAGUGUUUGAAUGUAUGAACGUGUGGCACUCGUCAGAGCUAUUGGGAGUUAUUUUCUCUUACACAUUAUCUAUUCAAAAGGAAAAUGUGGGAGAUUGGUGAGUAGACUUCUGUAUCUUUAUCUGGUGAAAUGUUGUAAUAAUUUCCUGAGAAUAUUUUCAAAAUGUUUUUGAAAUAGCUCGAUGCAUCGUUGAAUUUGAUGAUGUGUUAGGCCUAUGUUAUAGAAUUACUUCCCUUGUUGUUGAUCAUAUUGUAAUUUGACUGAUAGGAUUAAAUGAGAACCAUGCUAAAUAUUUUACAACCGAAAUGUAUCGAAAAUGUUGAUGAAUAUGUCAAGAAGGAGCCUCCCAAACCAACUGAGAUUGCACAUAGUUUCGAAUCCCAAAGUUAUUUUCAGUAUUUGGAUGCACACUAUUUAGGCAACUUGCGCUGUAAAACAAUUCCUAUAGCCACAAUGGAUUUUAGCCUAUAUUUGCAUGCCAUGUUGAUAUCAAAUAAGAUGAUGAUUAUUAUCAUUGUUGUUAUGCUAUUAUUGUGUUGUUACUGUAUAAUACAUACCAUAUUUGUUUCCCCCUCAGUUAUCAUUUGGUAGGAUUUAUUUUAUGAAUCUGAAAUCAGGUUAGCCACUGACUAACGUACAUUGCGCCUAUCCCAAUUCCACUGUGCGUGUGACAGCGGCUAACCUGGUUUUGGGGAGACUUCUCUACUGCCGCCGCGGGAAAGGCCCUGUCCAGACACACUUUACAAAUGCAACAUCUCGUGCUAUCUGACACCUGUUAUGUGGGAAUAAUUAUUUGCUUCAGCAUUACUGCCCUCCCUGUGGUCUUUCUGAGUACUACUGUAUGUAGUACACUAUCUCCAGGCUAUACAGUCAGAGGCCUUUACAUUAGAUCUACUAUGGAGCUGCCGCCCUAUAGACCUGGCAUGCCAUCUACUGGGACUCUAGCCUGCUGGUGACUAUGGGAACUUCAGGGAUUCCGGGGCUUAUCUAUCUCCAGCCAAGCCAGACGUGUCCUGAUCGUGUCACCAUAAUCCAAUUCCACAUAAUUCAUCUUAAUAUCAGAACUGUCCAGUCCUUUCAAGUAGCUCUGACAAACAUAUGUACCUCAGCUACUCCCUCAACCCAUAGAGGUGAGAGUUAAAACAGGAAUGUAGAGAAAUGCCGACUUAGGCAAAGUCAUUCGACAACGAUUGAAGGGUGGAAAAAGUAGAUAAAUAUAGCGGUGCAGAUACAGUAUGUAAAGGGAAGAGGAAUCUCUUUAUGUGACAGCAAGGACAAAUAUUUACAGAGCUGUGGAGCAGCUAAGCAGAGUUUGUUUCAGCAUUGUGGUGGUUCAUGGGACUCACUCCGUCAGACAGCCAUCAUGUUUAUUCUCACAGAUAUACACAGAGAGGGAGAAGGGUGGGACUGGGUCAUCCUACGUUGGUUCAGAGAGGAGGACUGUGUAACGUGAAUACAGUCCAGAGUCGGGGUCAGCUCACUGUUUAUGAUAUCACUUACUGUAUUAGUGAUAUCACUAACAAGCUUCAUUACAGAAAGGCAAACUGAAUAGACAUUUGACUUUUCAUCACUAUCUACUCUGCUAAAUACACUAUCAGGGCGUUCGCUGGCCUAACGGUUAAGAGUGUUGGGCCAGUACCCGAAAGGUCGCUGGUUUGAAUCUCCGAGCCGACUAGGUGAAAAAUCUGUUGAUGUGUCCUUGAGCAAGGCACUUAACCAUAAUUGCUCCUGUUAAGUCGCUCUGGAUAAGAGUGUCUGCUAAUUGAAUAAAAAACUUGAUUGUACGGUCCUAGUUCUGCACUCUUGUCAUGUUUGCAUUUUAUUUUCCAUGUUCAAAUACCAUGGCAAGUCACUGUGGCUUGAGGUAAGAGCAGGGGCCUGGACUAGAGCAUGGGAAGUGCUGAGUAUAUGGCAUGAAGAAGCACUUGAGUAGAGAAUUAGUGUGCAUUAAAUGUGCAUGUUCAGCUAUCGUGUGAGUGGACACGUCAGCAUAGCAUAGUAGAGAUAUCUAACCUACCAGCACUCUCCUGCUCCGUCAACCUACCAGCACUCUCCUGCUCCGUCUAACCUACCAGCACUCACCUGCUCCGUCUAACCUACCAGCACUCACCUGCUCCGUCAACCUACCAGCACUCUCCUGCUCCGUCUAACCUACCAGCACUCACCUGCUCCGUCUAACCUACCAGCACUCUCCUGCUCCGUCUAACCUACCAGCACUCUCCUGCUCCGUCUAACCUACCAGCACUCUCCUGCUCCGUCAACCUACCAGCACUCUCCUGCUCCGUCAACCUACCAGCACUCACCUGCUCCGUCUAACCUACCAGCACUCACCUGCUCCGUCUAACCUACCAGCACUCACCUGCUCCGUCUAACCUACCAGCACUCUCCUGCUCCGUCUAACCUACCAGCACUCACCUGCUCCGUCUAACCUACCAGCACUCACCUGCUCCGUAUAACCUAUCAGCACUCACCUGCUCCGUCUAACCUACCAGCACUCACCUGCUCCGUCUAACCUACCAGCACUCACCUGCUCCGUCUAACCUACCAGCACUCCUGCUCCGUCUAACCUAUCAGCACUCACCUGCUCCGUCUAACCUACCAGCACUCUCCUGCUCCGUCUAACCUACCAGCACUCACCUGCUCCGUCUAACCUACCAGCACUCACCUGCUCCGUCUAACCUACCAGCACUCACCUGCUCCGUAUAACCUACCAGCACUCUCCUGCUCCGUCUAACCUACCAGCACUCUCCUGCUCCGUCUAACCUACCAGCACUCACCUGCUCCGUCUAACCUACCAGCACUCACCUGCUCCGUCUAACCUACCAGCACUCUCCUGCUCCGUCUAACCUACCAGCACUCUCCUGCUCCGUCUAACCUACCAGCACUCUCCUGCUCCGUCUAACCUACCAGCACUCACCUGCUCCGUCUAACCUACCAGCACUCUCCUGCUCCGUCUAACCUACCAGCACUCACCUGCUCCGUCUAACCUACCAGCACUCACCUGCUCCGUCUAACCUACCAGCACUCUCCUGCUCCGCCUAACCUACCAGCACUCACCUGUUCCGCCUAACCUACCAGCACUCACCUGCUCCGCGUAACCUACCAGCACUCACCUUCUCCGUCUAACCUACCAGCACUCUCCUGCUCCGUCAACCUACCAGCACUCACCUGCUCCGUCAACCUACCAGCACUCUCCUGCUCCGUCUAACCUACCAGCACUCUCCUGCUCCAUCUAACCUACCAGCACUCUCCUGCUCCAUCUAACCUACCAGCACUCACCUGCUCCGUCUAACCUACCAGCACUCACCUGCUCCAUCUAACCUACCAGCACUCACCUGCUCCGUCUAACCUACCAGCACUCUCCUGCUUCGUCUAACCUACCAGCACUCUCCUGCUCCGUCUAACCUACCAGCACUCACCUGCUCCGUCUAACCUACCAGCACUCUCCUGUGCUGUCUAAAUGCCUCAUUAAUUACUGUUGUUGUCAUGUUCUCUUUCAUAAUUCAACAAGUGUGUCCGUUUGAGACAAUUUCAACAUAUUUGUAUACAGAGCAUACAGAGCUCCAUGUACGUGUGUAAAUAUUUAAAAUAUGAUGAAAUAUUAGGUACGCACCUUUAUGAUUUAUAUAUUUACCUGAUUGAGAUAUAUUCCUUUGUUAUUAGCAAAAUGUUGUUUUUGUCUCCCCCUCUUGCCCACUCAUUGUACUGUGGUAAGUGUUUUAGUGAUAAGAUAAAGGCAGGAAGUUGGGACUUUGAUGGGGCGUGUCCUAGCUAGACCCGGGAGCAGUAUAGUCUUUUGGCCAUACAUGCAUGCAUACAAACAGGCCAUAUUAUGUAUUUUUCAUGUCAAGUAAUCUAGGCUUUAAGUUGAUUGGAUAAUAAUUUUUUUAUGUUAGAUUUAAGAAGAAUAAACCUUUUUUGUUGCACCAUAUCCCUGGAUCUCAUUGAAUGUUUUUGCUGUUUGGGAACUUCGAAUGUGGACUGACUGUAGGCUUCCGAAACAACCCAGCUUCAGGCUAGGGCAGUGGCUAUGUUCAAUUGGUAAGGGAAGCCACUAGUGUCAAUAGCACCCUUGGAUUAAAAAUCAACAUGCUUGGUUCUAGAUUACAUCUAUCUAAACAUACAGUACUUUACAUUGUUUGCGAGAUCAAACAUAAUAUCACUAUAAUCCGAGUAUUCAUUUUCGGGAGGGUUGUUUUCAUUUUAGCGCAUCUAAUUUGUAAAAAUGUCAACUGUUUUAAAUUAUUACUUUGUUUAUUUUUUGUGAAAUUAAAAACCCAUCAAAAUA